GCCGCGUUACAUCCUUAGAAGUUGUUUACAUCAACAGGGCUUUAUAAAAUCGAGUUGUAUUGGUUCAGAGUGAUGUCAUUGGAAUUUCUAUGCAAAUUUUUAGAAAGUACGCGUGCUUCGCUUCAAGGUGAUACCAAACAAUCGGUGGGGGGAUUCCCAGUCAUGCCGCGAGUGAGUGGAGAAAAACACGGAUUUUCUAAGAAAAUUUAAGAUGCGUCAGAGUUGGCAACCUGCUUACAGCCGAAUCGGACCUACGACCGGUCAGUCAGAGCCGAACGCGGCCGAAAGUCGCCGACGAGCUGCGUAGGAUCGCAUUGUCUGUUAUAGUACGAAUGCCUGGGCGUCCGUGACAACAGCUUGAUUACUUUUGAAUCACAUGUACUUAUCUUAUCAAAUUUCUUUCGCGACUGGUCGUAUUUUGAAGACUCUUAACGUUUAAAAAUGGAAAACAAAGAAAUUAAGGUUGUUAAGAUUCAAAUAAAAAUUAAAAUCAAAGUGAAAAUAACACAUAAGGAAGGUGAGACAUUUUCUGAAAAAAAUGAGGCACUGGAGACGAACAGCGGCGAGGGGGUGGAUAUGGUGAAGGUGAUUAAGAAGACGGAUGACACGGACAAGCCCCGAUGGACAGUGUGUUACAUGCCGAAGACUGGAAGAAAAGAAAAUGACCGUGGCCUGAAGAUUCGCCCAUGGAACGGGAGGGACGAGCCACCCCCCCUGGAGGAAGCAGGAGCCACAAGAAAGAGGACUGAUGGACUUAUGGGUUAUGGCCGGGGACGGAGGGUUAAUACACAUAUUGUUGACGGACUUGUUGGUUAUGGCCGGGGACGGAGGGUUAAUACAGGUAUUAUUUAAGUGUUGUUAUAGAUAUAAGAUAGGAUAAGAGGUUUAGAUGAGGUAGGAUAAGUUAAAAUAUAAUAAGAUAGGCUGUUAAAAUAUGACGAUAGGCUGUUAAAAAUAUAAUUAUAGGCUAAGUUAAAUAUAUAUGAUAGGCUAAGUUAAAAUAUGAUAAGAUAGACUGUUAAAAUAUGAUGAUAGGCUGUUAAAAUAUGAUAAAAAU